GUAGAAACAUUUUCUCAUAGACUUCUAUGCAAUCACACUUCUUUCUGCAGUCGGUGGAGUCGCCCCCUGCUGGCUGCUGGAGCGAACGCACACAUCAUGUGUAUAUACUGGAUACCUGUUUGCUGUGGAAAUGUUGAUGAUAAAAGUUCAAGUCCAACAGGUUUAACAAAUACUUAUGAUGACACAGCUGAUUUUUGUUUACAUACUAUUGACUACAUGCUGGUGGCGUCUAAACAGCCCUGACCCGUCGAGGUCCGGACUCCACUGUGUGUUGUGACACCUUUCUGUCAGAACCAGCAUCAAUUUCAGCAGUUUGACCUACAGUAGCUCGUCUGUUGGAUCAGACCACACGGGCCAGCAUUCGCUCCCUACGUGUCUCACUGCUGCCCAUGACCCUGUCGCCGGUUCACCUCUUUUCCUUCUUUGGACCACUUCUGAUAGGUCGCGUCACCAGACUCCUGCACGAUGUCAUGCAAUUUUUAGAAGAAGCAAUCAAGUUCAAGAGAAGAAGGAGAAGAAGGCACACUCAGGUAUGUGUCUGAACUUCUGGGAGGAGAGAAGUUUAUGUCUUGCUCAGCAGUGCUGCCAGCAUUGUGUCAUCUGUUGCGAGUGUUGGAGGUCACUGAGGACGACCCAGCUUACAUGAUUAAGUUCAAGGGAACCUUUGCAGCAGACAUGGAGGGUCGCAAGGAGAAGACCAACAUCACAUGGCUGAGAGUUGCAACAGCACUUGACCCAAGGUUUAAGGACCUCAAGUGUCUGAGCAAACCUGACAGGGCUGAGGUGUGGGGUCCACGCCUUGCUCCUGGAGAGGAAGAGGCCUGCACAGCCGGGUAACCAAAUCACGCCUGAGCCUCCUAUGAAGAAACCAACUCUCAUGCUUGCACACGAGUCUUCGUCUGAUGAAGAGGAGGACAGUAUUGAGCAAUGUCUGGAGCGCUACAAGGCAGAGCCUCUUACUGGCACGGAUGACUGUCCCCAGGAAUGGUGGUCCACACAUGAAGGGGCACACAGUGAAAUGGCCCGCCUUGCAUGCAAGUACUUAGCAACACUGGCCACAUCAGUACCUUGCAUGCAAGUACUUAGCAACACUGGCCACAUCAGUACCUUCUGAAAGGUUGUUUUCACUGUCUGGGCAUGUUGUACAAAAGAAGCGAGCUUCCCUGUUGUCUGAAAAUGUCAACAGGCUUGUCUGUUUGAGUAACUGGCUCAAAGCAAAGAAGUAGUAGGCUUACCUUUUAUUGGUAACCGACAGUUACUGUUCAUUCUUUCUCAAAUAAGAGGCUGGGUUGAUGAGCCUCUGGUGAAUAAAGAGCAGUAGCCUGACUGCUAUGUUCAAAGCAAACUUGAGAAAAAGAAAGUAUUAAGCCAUGGUUUAACUGCACUAUAGGCUGCUGAGUCCUAGUUUACCGUACAUGUGCACUUUGUAAUUGUAUUUUGUAUUUCCCCGUUUUGAUCACUUAGAAAGGGCUGCUGAAGGGGUUUGUGUGACAAAGUAUUUUUUCACCCUUCUAUUGAUGAACAGUGUUACACUGUGUGAAAGAUUAUUUGCUCCAAGUGUGAAUGUUAGUGUGAAAUUGAACACUACUACUACUACUAGUAUAUGCAAAUGUUGUUUUCAAUAAAAAAAAAUUGUACUAAGUAAGCAGAUCCACUUUUCCAUGUUGAUAAAAGCAUUAAAAUGAAAAAAGAAAAUGGGACAAAAAGAAAUCAAGGGACAUUUAGAAUGCAAUUAAUUGCGAGUUAACUAUGACAUUAAUGCGAUCGCGAUUA